UUUGGUGAUGACGGCAGAGAGGUCACACCCGUUCCCAUACCGAACACGGAAGUUAAGCUCUCUAGCGCCGAUGGUAGUUGGGACCUUGUCCCUGUGAGAGUAGGACGUCGCCAAGC
rnacentral:rRNA from 1 species